rnacentral:rRNA from 1 species
UCAGUCGACUCCUACGGGGAGGCAGCAGUGGGGAAUAUUGCACAAUGGGGGAAACCCUGAUGCAGCCAUGCCGCGUGUGUGAAGAAGGCCUUCGGGUGUAAAGCACUUUCAGUAGGGAGGAAGGUAGUGUAGUUAACACCUGCAUUAUUUGACGUUACCUACAGAAGAAGCACCGGCUAACUCCGUGCCAGCAGCCGCGGUAAUACGGAGGGUGCGAGCGUUAAUCGGAAUUACUGGGCGUAAAGCGCAUGCAGGCGGCCUGUUAAGUCAGAUGUGAAAGACCCGGGGCUUAACCUCGGAAUUGCAUUUGAAACUGGCAGGCUAGAGUCUUGUAGAGGGGGGUAGGAAUUUCAGGUGUAGCGGUGAAAUAGCGUAGAGAUCUGAAGGAAUACCAGUGGCGAAGGCGGCCCCCUGGACAAAGACUGACGCUCAGAUGCGAAAGCGUGGGGAGCAAACAGGAUUAGAUACCCUGGUAG